ensembl:lncRNA
AGAUACCGAAAGACUGCUCUCAGGUCACCCCGGCACCUUCUCUCAGCUCUCAGCCUGUCCUCAUAGGGGAGGGGUUCCAUUCCCUGGAUCAUCUUGCUUCACUGUAAACCAGUAAUCCAACUCUAUCCACAUCUCCCACCCUCGCAUCCCAUAAUUUUGUUAACUUCUUGGACAUAAAUUAAAAGAAAGUAACUCAACCUUUCCUGGUGGCCUUCCAGAAGACAGUCAUCUCUUCAACAACCUAAAUGGAAGAAAAGAAAAGCUUCUUAUUUUAGUUACAUUUUAAUUACUUUUGUGUGCCACUCACUCCCUCUGCAACCUACCAUUCCUAUUUUUGGGUGGAAUUUUUAUUGCUCCUCUUUUCUACAAAUAAUAGGCUGCCAAUUACAGCAAGGCUAUUUCCUGAAGAUAAUUAGUCACAGUACAAAAUCUCCAUGAAAGCACUUCACAUUUGCAUGGAAAACGUCAGCCAGCUGCAAGACUCAGGAAAGGAAAGCUAAAGACAAGGGAGCAACACUGAAAGAAAAACAUGAUGAAGAAUGCUUUCAGAAGUUGUUUGCAAGACAGACUCCCUGUAUUUUUGAAUAGCUUUGGUCACUUGUACACGUACAACCUAGAAGAAAGGAAGGAUUUAUCAAGCCAACACCAGCCUCCUUGGUCAGAGAGCAGAGAUCUAUCAAUUUCUAUCUCUUAGCUAGUCUCUGUAAUAAAUAUGGGCUUGGUGCAUAAUGAAAACCAG